rnacentral:rRNA from 1 species
UGGGGAAUAUUGGACAAUGGGCGAAAGCCUGAUCCAGCAAUGCCGCGUGAGUGAUGAAGGCCUUAGGGUUGUAAAGCUCUUUUACCAGGGAUGAUAAUGACAGUACCUGGAGAAUAAGCUCCGGCUAACUCCGUGCCAGCAGCCGCGGUAAUACGGAGGAUGCAAGCGUUAUCCGGAAUUAUUGGGCGUAAAGCGUCCGCAGGUGGCACUUCAAGUCUGCUGUCAAAGACCAGAGCUCAACUCUGGGCAGGCGGUGGAAACUGGGGAGCUAGAGUACGGUAGGGGUAGAGGGAAUUUCCAGUGUAGCGGUGAAAUGCGUAGAGAUUGGAAAGAACACCAGUGGCGAAGGCGCUCUACUGGACCUGUACUGACACUAAGGGACGAAAGCUAGGGGAGCGAAAGGGAUUAGAUACCCCCGUAGUCC